rnacentral:rRNA from 1 species
UACAGAGGUCUCAAGCGUUGUUCGGAUUCAUUGGGCGUAAAGGGUGCGUAGGUGGCAUGGUAAGUCGGAUGUGAAAUCCCGGGGCUCAGCCCCGGAACUGCAUUCGAUACUGCUGAGCUAGAGUACUGGAGAGGAGAUUGGAAUUUACGGUGUAGCAGUGAAAUGCGUAGAUAUCGUAAGGAAGACCAGUGGCGAAGGCGGAUCUCUGGACAGUUACUGACACUGAGGCACGAAGGCCAGGGGAGCAAACGGG